rnacentral:lncRNA from 1 species
CUGCAAUAGUGGACGAAAAUACCGAUGCUUAUUAAUGAACAUAAUUUGCAUGGCUAAAAUCAUUGAACCAGUUCUGAUAAGGACCAGUUCAACAUUUCAUUCCAAAUGAUAUACGUAUAUCAAUAUUUAAUUUGGUAUGCAGAAAACGCAGAGUUUAGUUAUUUUGUCAACUUUACUUUAUAUUCUCUCUCUUUUUUUCUCUUUUUU